AGGAUAAACGCUGGCGGCGUGCCUAACACAUGCAAGUCGAACGCGCUUGCUAUCCGCAAGGGGAGCGAGCGAGUGGCGGACGGGUGAGUAACGCGUGGGAACGUACCUUUUGGUUCGGAACAACACAGGGAAACUUGUGCUAAUACCGGAUAAGCCCUUACGGGGAAAGAUUUAUCGCCAAAAGAUCGGCCCGCGUCUGAUUAGCUAGUUGGUGAGGUAACGGCUCACCAAGGCGACGAUCAGUAGCUGGUCUGAGAGGAUGAUCAGCCACAUUGGGACUGAGACACGGCCCAAACUCCUACGGGAGGCAGCAGUGGGGAAUAUUGGACAAUGGGCGCAAGCCUGAUCCAGCCAUGCCGCGUGAGUGAUGAAGGCCCUAGGGUUGUAAAGCUCUUUUGUGCGGGAAGAUAAUGACGGUACCGCAAGAAUAAGCCCCGGCUAACUUCGUGCCAGCAGCCGC
rnacentral:rRNA from 1 species